GUGGUGAAUGCAUUGCAGUUUGGGACGAUCAUGAGGAGUCAAGCACUUGAAACUCCUACUUUGUUCUUGUAGCACCCCAUAAGAUUUGUAUCAUCUGAGAGCCCCAUCCCUGACCUUCUUUAAGGUCAACUUUGACGAUAGUGCAAGUGAUAGUACUGCUGGUGCAGGCUUUGUGAUCAAGGGCCCUGAUUCUAUGUUCAUAGCUGCUAGCGGGUUCUAUCUAUUCGUAACCUCUAUUCUCAGUGUCGAGCUUCGAGUUGCCUGGAGAGCAUUUCUUUUCUGGCCCUAGUGUUUAGAGCUUAUCAACUUGUGGUGGAGAGAAAUUCAACAACGGUGAUGAGCUAGAUCCACUAGAUCCAACCUAACCCUUUGCAUCAACCCAAACAUACCUAACCCAGUAUGGAUCCCAUGACCUGAUCCAGAAACCAAAUCAUAUUCCCUUCCUCUUCUCCUUGCCAUUCUUCAUUCCAUUAAAUUAAACUUUGCCUCAACUCAUGCCUUGCAUUUCAUCCCAUUGAUUCAACCUCCUUUCACCUCCUCUCAUAUAGUUGUGUUUAAUUCUAUCAUUUGUUUCAAAUUUUAUCGAUUAUUUAUUUUUAGUAUUAUUCUAAUUUGUAAACCUGUAUGUUAAAAGUAUCUAUUUUUACCAUGAUAAAAAAUGCAUUUUUGAAAAGAAAUUUCCUAUUUAUUUUAUCAAACACUUUAAGUUGCUUCAAAAACUGUUAACCAUUUGCGUUCGAUACCAACUUUCAUUAUUUUUAGCCGUAAAAGAACUGCCGAAAGCUUUACAUGUAUUACAGACUAAACCAAGUCCAGCUGCAACCCAAAGUUUGAAUGGGGCUCGACCCAACCCACUAGCUGAUCAGGCUGUGUUGGGUUUAGGUCCAAAAUCAUGACCUGAAAUACAAGAAUAUCAGUCAAGCAUGCAAAUUGACCCUAUAACCAACUCUACAAUAUUAUCAUGAGGCACGAGGGAUGUUUGUGUUCUUACAGCAAAAUUGUGCAAGCUUAAAGUAGCUGAAAACACAACACUGAUUGAAAAAUAUGUACGUAACGAGCAGCCCUUAUCAUCUUCCCGUAUUAACAAAAAGAAGCAUAGCCUUUAACAAGUAAUUCCAUAGCAUAGACAGCCAAACGGACAAGGAAAACCAAAGAAAACAGAAGUGAGGGAACCUGAUAGAGAGUUUCUGCCUAGACUGACAGAUGAUCAUUACCUAGCCCAUCUGGAAAAAACCUAUUUUCACCAUCACUACCCUGCAUCCAAACAGAAAUAGAGAGCCUCCAUGUGUUAUUUUCCAUGUCAUUCACACUCUCUGCUUGUGCUGCAGCAACCAUGAAGGUACAUUGCUGAUAAAGUAGCUUCACUUCCGAACUGAUUUGCACGAUCUAGAGUGGAUCAUGAGCCGAACUUUGGGCAUAAACUAUAUUUAUUUUUAAUCACUUUGGGCAUAAACUAUGUAGUAAUCAUUUUUGGCAUUAACAAAAUUUCUUAGAUUUUGUCUAAUGUCUAUGCUAGCACUAUAGGUAGAGGAGGGUGUUAUGAGGUAAGGUCUCCAAGCUGAUCAAUUAGGGCAUGCCCUCUCUAGCGACAGGGGACUUUAAUUGCGUUGAUGGCCUCCAAGAGAAGAGAGGCGGUAGAAGCUUUUCAAACAGCAUUAAAUCCAGGGAGUUUCGAGAGUUCAUCUUGAGAAAUGGAUUGAUUGACCUGAGUUUUUUGGGCCCCAUAUUCACCUAUGCAAUAAUCACCAAGGUACAGCCAGAGUUUAAGAGUGCAUUGAUAGGACAUUUGACAUAGGCUUUUGGCUCAAGUGCUUCCCCAAUUACUAGAUUUACUACCUACCGAAGAUCACCUUCAAUCAUGGUCCAGUUUUGCUCUCCAUCGAUCUGGAUUUCUCAUAUCAGAGUCCAUUCCAUUUCAAAAAAUUUUGGUUAUCCAACCCUCACUUAUGGGAUAUUGUGUGGGAUGUUUGGAGGCCUCCGAUGCAUGAGGAUGCCAUGUAUCAGGUCACUCGCUGACUAAAGUUGAUGAGCUGCAAGCUAUUGAGGUGGAACCAAAUUGAGGUGAGAGACAUCUUUAGGAGGAUAGAGGAAGUUGAGGCCUUUUAGAGCUGCAGAUGAAGGAGGAUAGGGAUGGGGACCUCUCUAUGGAUGACCUGAGUAGCCUUCGAGCUAGUUUUUUCUUGCAUCACUCCUUAUUGAGACAGCAAGAGUUGCUCUGAUGGUAGAAGUCCAGAAUUUAGUGGUUACUAGGGCUAGUCUUUCCUUGCAUCACUCCUUAUUGAGGCAGCAGGAGGUGCUCUGAUGGUAGCAGUCCAAAACUCAAUGGUUACUAGAGCUAGCAAAUAAUCAAAAUCUGAAGAAAUCCACCCAAUCUAACCCAAUAAACAUCUGUUUCAAUCGGUUGCAAGAUAUAAAUCAGAUAAAAUCAAGUUAGGAUUUAUAAAAAAUCUAUUAUUUAUGAUCGGAUUCUAUUUUUAUACUUUUAAACCGUAUAAAAUCGAAUCCAACUGAUGUAGUAUUUCACUAACUCACUUUCAUUUUGGGACGACAUCAUUUAGACUUCAAUACUUCAUUCUAAAAAAUACCAUAUCAUCCAUUUAGAUUUAUAAAAAUAUUAAUGUUGAAUUGUUGAUGGAAGCACAUCAAUCUGAGAUAAUUCUAAAAUAAAGCUUUCAGAUGUAGUUGUUUUCAGAUGAAUAAAUCUUUUUUUUCUAUUUUAUUUUAUACAGAUUCAAAAAUAAGUUUAAAAUUUAUAACUUAUAAGAUUUAGAUAUUUUUUGUAUUAAAUUGAUAAAAAAAGAUAAAUAAUCUUAAGUGGGCCAAUAUUGGACUUAAAAUCAAUAUUGGAUCAACAUUGAAGUCCAAACCAAUACAACCCAUCCAAACCUGCUAUAAAUCAUUCAUUUCAAUUUUAAAUAGUUUAUACAUGAUAAAUGGUUGGCAGUAGGUUGAAUUUUCUUCAAUCCGAUUGAGUUCAAUCGGAUGAAAUUUUUUUCUUAACCUGAUCGAACCCAACCCGUGCUCAGCCCUAGUGGUUACGGAAGGAGGAUGAAAUAUCAGAUUCUUUCACUAGGUGACUGUCAUCAAACAACAGAGGAUCUAGAUCUAAAUGUUGAGGAGUGCAGGGGUUCAGUGGAUUGAUAGUGAGGAUGGGAUUAGGCUAGAGGUCAUCAGCUUUUUCAGAUCAAGGUGGUCCACAGACCAAGGGAUUCGAGGGUCUUUUGGUGCCCUUCUCUGAUCAGCCUAUUGUUAGAUGAAGAGAAUUCGACUAUGAUUGGUCCUGUCUCUAAGAAGGAGAUUCAGGGGAUGGUUUGGGCUUUGAUAGAGGAUAAGGCCCCUGGACUUGAUGGGUUCCCUCCUUUGUUCUUCUAAUGUUAUUGGCCCAUUAUUUGUGAUGAAAUGUUGGAGGCUAUUCAGCUAUGUUUUUGCCACUGUACUUAUGCCAGCAACUUAAAAGUGGACCUUCAUUGCUCUUCUUCUAAAGAGACAAGAUGCUUCAGAGCCGAGUCACUUUAGCCUUAUCAGUCUAUGCACUAUUUUUGUACAAGAUUUGCACCAAGAUUCUAGUUGGUAGGAUGAAGCCCAUUCUUCACUGAUUGAUCAGUUUUGAGCAAAAUGCUUUUGUCAGAGAGUGUAGUAUCUUUGACAACAUGCUGAUCACAUAGGAGUUUAUGCAUGACCUCCUUAAAGCCCCAAGCUAUUGGUGUCAUAUGGCCAUCAAGCUUGAUAUGAAGUAUGCUUAUGAUCGGGUGUGCUGAGACUUUCUCUAUCAUGUCUUAUAGAGUUUCAAAUUUCACGGUCAUUGGAUCAACUGGAUCAGAGGAUGCGUGCAUAUUCCGUCCUUUACCAUCUUGAUCAAUGAUACUUUGAUGUAUUUCUUGCACUCGAUUGUCAGCCUUCAUCAAGCAUUAUCCCCUUAUCUAUUCAUUAUUUAUGCUGAUGCACUCUCCAAAGCCUUAUGAGCAGCCGAUUGUGCCAUUGAGCUUUAUAUGCUGGCACCUGGGUCUAGCCAAUCUCGCAUCUACUUUUUACAGAUAAUUAUUUUCUACUCUGCUAGGCCACUAUCUGGAAUACUGUGGCCCUUUAUAGGAUUUUGAAGGAUUAUUGUGCUGCUUCUAGCUAGAUGGUGAAGCUCUUCAAGUCUUUGAUCCACUUUAGUCUGAAGACUAAGGCUCAAUACAAGCAAGUGAUCUAUGACCUCCUGGGACAUCAUAGAGCAAGUUAGGACCCAAUGCUAUUUGGGGAUUCCUAUAAUGGGGUGGAGGCUUCAAAGGACUAACUGCUUGGAGACGAAGGCCACGAUCAGAGAUCACCUUGAGGGCUAGCAAUCCAAGGCCCUUUCAAUGAUAGCUAGGAUUAUUUUGAUGAGAUCGAUUCUCAGUGCUAUCCUGAUUUACCCAUUGUCUCACACUUUUACCAAGGCCUUCUCUCCUGAAGCUCCAGUAGCUCUUUAGAAAUUUUCUAUGGGGCUCACAUAGUGGAGAAUGAAGUAUACGUCUUUUGGCAUGACAUGUUGUGCGUCGACCUAUCAAUGGGGGGGCUGGAUGUCCAAUCCUUAUUGAUCUGAUGGGAGGCCUUAAUAUCUAGGCACACUGCAAGAUAUUUGAUUUAGCUUGACGGCUUUUGAAGUUUGAUGAUAUGGGCCAGGUAUGGUCAUAGGCCUCUGGAGGGGAUAGCCCACAUCAUUCGAAGGUGUUCUUUCCUAUGGAAGAAGAUUUUCUCUCACCACCCUAAUAUGAUGGAUCAAGCUAGUUGGAUAGUUCAUGAUGGGGGAACAAUCGAUGUUGUUCGAGAUCAGUGGAUGGCUAUAUUCUGCUUUCUUAUUGGCUUACUUUUACCAGCACUGUCGUGUGUGAUAUUUCUAUAGGAGUUGGUGUGGUGCUCCCAAUCCUUGGAAAGCCACAGAAAGAGUUAGAGUAUCGGCUCCGGGAGGUUAGGAUCGGAUGUGGGUCCUAGUAUUAGGAUAGGAGUGGUCCUAAGAUGGAGGUGGUGCAUGGCUCUCUACGAGCUUGAAGUUCAGGCGACGAGAACUUUGAAGAGAUUGGUUGGGGCUCUGAAUAUCUAGAGAUACAAAAUAGAGUAAGAAACCAGAGCCAGGACUGAAGUUGCCGAGGAAAGAGUAGAUUCAGGGUGUUAGUCAGCUCAAACUGAGACUGGAUUGACUAAGUCACAGGUGGAUCGAUCCAGGCCCAGUCUGGGUCAACUAUGCCUCAGAAAAAUAGAAAAGGAUAUCUCAAAAAACUGUGGCAUGGUAUGCAGGUUAGUCGACUCAGUCCGGCACUAAGUCGACUAAGUCCUAGGUUAGUCGACUCAGUCUGAGACUGAGCCGACUCAGUGUUGUGGGUAGAACUGCAUAGAUUUUCUAUUUGGAUCUAGGAUUGGGUUUUAAUUCUAAGGUCUUAAGGCCUGGUUUGAUAGAUAUUAAGGGGACUAACUCAAGGAUUUGGACUGAAAUCAAGUCCAAGGGAUGAGAGCAUAUGAGAUAUGGAUGUAUAUGAGCUUGGUUAGUGCUUUCAUGUAUUGAAUCUAGCCAGGAAUGUUUUUGGUCUGGCCUAUUGGCUAUAUAUAUAUAUAUGUACAUAGGUUGUAUUAGGAUUUUUAAUGAAUAGAAUACAAUUGAUCUUUUUUUCCUAAUUCUCUCUCUUUCUCUCUGGUUCCAAUGCCAAACCCUAGUAUCUCCUGAGGUAGCCGCUCCAUUAUUUUGCUUUUGCUUUUUUGAAUCUUCUUUAUUGCUUGAUUAACACCCGAGUCUGCACAAAGGUGAUCAACAUUUGGUACAGGAGUUGUACCAGAGAUUUUCCUAACAACUCCGUGGAUCUGUGAUAUGCUUCAAUUGGAGGGGAAGAGAUGGAAUGAGCAGGUGGUGACUCGGCUUUUUGAUGAUCAAUUAGCUAAGAGAAUUCUAUCUCAAGUGAUUCCCUUACUUCAGGGUCUGGAUGUUAAGGUUUGGCGGUCAUUGCGUACAUCUAGGGUGGUGACCAAAAUCCUAUAUGAUCUCUACAGGGGAGAGCCAGUCAUGGGGUUAGACGGUGCUUAGUUCUUGGAGUUCAUUCGAGGGUUAGUUUAUUUAUCUAAAAGGUCGUUUGAAGUUGGCUACCUACCAGAGCUCUAUUAAGGGCCCACGGGAUGGAUAUUCCCUCCGUAUGUCCAUCUUACGGGUCGGAGGAGACUAUGGAACAUGUCCAAAUCCUUUAUCCAUGGGUGGCUCGAGUGUGGCAGUUGGUGAGCCUCCCUUCUGUAGCGAUUCCUCAUCUUGUGGAUUGGAGGAGACUAUGGAACUUGUCCUAUUCCUUUGCCCAAGGGUGGCUCAAGCACAGCAGUUUGUGAGCCUUCCUCCUAUAGCGAUUCCUAGGGACUAGUUUGGUUAGGCUUUUUUGGACUCUUUGUGUUGGAGUAGGGAGUCAAAGGGCACAAGAUCAAUUGGCAUCAAAGCAAUCUAGGUUGCUUACCACAUCUAGCUAGCCCAGAAUAUUAGUCUAUUUGAAGUAAGAUAGUAGCCGGCUAGGAUUGUACUUGAGAGAGUCUUAUCCCAAGCAAUCAAGGUGGUGAAUGCAUUGCAGUUUGGGACGAUCAUGAGGAGUCAAGUACUUGGAACUCCCACUUUGUUCUUGUAGCACCCCAUAGGAUUUGUAUCGUCUGAGAGCCCCAUCCCUGACCUUCUUUAAGGUCAACUUUGACGAUAGUGCAAGUGAUAGUACUGCUGGUGCAGGCUUUGUGAUCAAGGGUCCUGAUUUUAUGUUCAUAGCUGCUAGCGGGUUCUAUCUAUUCGUAACCUCUAUUCUC
rnacentral:lncRNA from 1 species